ensembl:lncRNA
UUUUCUAGUGGAUUUAUUUGGCUCUUUGAUAGUGUCUUAAGUCAGCAUGUUUCAUCACUGCUCCCUGAAGUCACCCCCUGCUCUGGUGUGCUGACCUGGCUGCCAGGAUGCAUGGCAAAAACCUGCCCACAUUUUUGUAGAGGCUGGCACCAGUGUGCCAACCAGGGAUACAACAAACCCACAUUUGGAACUGGGACCCAGCUUGUUGUUACCCCAAAAGUUACUCCAUCUCCCUCAGUCUACAGGCUGACCUCCAAAGAUGACCAGGGUCUGGAAAUGUGCCUUAUCACAGAUUACUCCCCUGAGAAGCUCACUCUGAACUCGGCUGAGCAGCACACAUCUGCUGUUGUGGAGGUGGCAACCACGGAGAACAGCGAGGAGUCCAGCUACCUGUCCACCUACUGGGCCAGGAGAGAUGAGCUGCACUGUGGUGCCAGCCACGAGGGCUUUGGAGAGCUGGAGGGCGAGGACCCUGAGAGUGGUGCCAGUGAUGUCUGUGUCACAGGGCUGUCCCUACAGUUCAGGACAGAUGAACACUUGAACACACUGUCUUUGUCACAGCUGGGCCUCAAAAUCGUUCUGAUGAAAGCAAUCAUUUUCAAUGUGCUGAUGACGAUGCUUAUGUGGAAGAAAAAAAAGGACUGAGAGUAACCAGGUGAUGCAGUCCUGAAGUACCAAACCCAUCUGCUUUGAGAGAGCAUCGUGAGCAAGAGGGAGCUGAGGGAUUAUUCUUUGUGCAAGGGACAUCCCUUCCUGCUCUUAUGUACCACACCAGCCAUUAUCUUCUAAAUUGCUUUAUUUGCAUUGCUAUAAAACUACUCAAAAUGAAACAUUUCCAGCAUUCUGCCCUCCAGAUGUCUGGGCCAUUCACCAUACAUUGCCUCUUUUGCAUGAAGCAGACUUUGCUAUAAUUACACAUUACCAAAAAUGUGUUGUUACUUGCAUUAAAGUGACAACUUCUGCCUGAGCAGUGCUGUGUGUUAAAAACUGCCAGCUAAAUAUGAGAAUUUUUCCUAUUUUGAUUGCUUUAGGUUAUUCAUAUGUGUUAGGGUACACCCCCAGAAACCUUUUCAGAUGCAAAUGAAACACUUUGAAAAGCAAAGGGAGUCUGACUCAAGAUGCACUGUCCUGCCACCCUUAUCUAGAUUAGAACAAGAUAUCCCAUUUUUUCCCUAAAGCAUGAGCUGCACAUCUCCCAGAAGUCCCAAAUUCAGUGAAAUUGUCACUUCAAUAUCACAGAAAAAAAAAUUAAAAAUUUUUAAAAUCUAUCUGACCAUAACACCUUCUUAAUUUAAACCAGUUUAAUUUGGCUUUGUGUUUAGUAAAAAUACAAUGUUCUUUCAAUGUUUAGUAAAAAUACAAUGUUCAUAGAAAAAUGUUCUUUUUGUUUCCUUCUAACAACCUGAGAUCUCUCUCUCUUCUUUUUGUAACAAUUGCAUAAAUAUUUACCUGUCCAUGUGGGCCCACCUUGGAACAGUGCUUGCCUGUGGCAUCUGCAUGCUGCUAAUUCAUGAACUGUACUGCCAUCCACAAGAUAUCUUGUUAUAAAACAAUUCUUACAAAAAAUGGGAAACUGGUUUGUCUCUUGU